rnacentral:rRNA from 1 species
AUUGAACGCUGGCGGCAGGCCUAACACAUGCAAGUCGAGCGAGCGGCGGACGGGUGAGUAAUGUCUGGGUAACUGCCUGAUGGAGGGGGAUAACUACUGGAAACGGUAGCUAAUACCCCAUACCAUCAGAUGUGCCCAGAGGGGAUUAGCUAGUAGGUGGGGUAACGGCUCACCUAGGCGACGAUCCCUAGCUGGUCUGAGAGGAUGACCCGCCACACUGGAACUGAGACAUGGUCCAGACUCCUACGGUAGGCAGCAGUGGGGAAUAUUGCACAAUGGGCGCAAGCCUGAUGCAGCCAUGCCGGGUGUGUGAAGAAGGCCUUCGGGUUGUAAAGCACUUUCAGCGGGGAGGCGUUACCCGCAGAAGAAGCACCGGCUAACUCCGUGCCAGCAGCCGCGGUAAUAC